rnacentral:rRNA from 1 species
AUUGAACGCUGGCGGCAUGCCUUACACAUGCAAGUCGAACGGCAGCACGGGAGCAAUCCUGGUGGCGAGUGGCGAACGGGUGAGUAAUAUAUCGGAACGUGCCCAGUAGUGGGGGAUAACUGCUCGAAAGAGCAGCUAAUACAGCAUACGACCUGAGGGCGAAAGGGGGGGAUCGCAAGACCUCUCGCUAUUGGGGCGGCCGAUAUCAGAUUAGCUAGUUGGUGGGGCAAAGGCCUACCAAGGCACAGAUCUGUAGUUGGUCUGAGAGGACGACCAGCCACACUGGGACUGAGACACGGCCCAGACUCCUACGGGAGGCAGCAGUGGGGAAUUUUGGACAAUGGGCGCAAGCCUGAUCCAGCAAUGCCGCGUGCAGGAAGAAGGCCUUCGGGUUGUAAACUGCUUUUGUCAGAGAAGAAGUCCUCUAGGUUAAUACCCUUGGGGGGAUGACGGUACCUGAAGAAUAAGCACCGGCUAACUACGUGCCAGCAGCCGCGGUAACAC